rnacentral:rRNA from 1 species
UUAAAAUGUUAAUAUAAUGAACUAAAGUAGUAUCAGUUAUGUUCUUUAAAUUUAAAGAUUUUGGCGGUAUUUUAGUCUAUUCAGAGGAACCUGUUCUGUAAUUGAUAGUCCACGAUUAACUUUACUUAAAUUUAAAAGUUUGUAUAUCGUUGUUUAUAGAAAAUUUUUUAAGAAAAAUAAUUUUUAAUAAAUUUAAUUAAAUUAUAAAUCAAAUCAAGGUGCAGUUUAUAUUUAAGUAGAAAUGGGUUACAAUAAAGUUAUUUAAACGGAUUUAAAUUUGAAAAUAUUUAAUGAAGGAGGAUUUGAUAGUAAUUUUGUUAAAUUUAAUAAAAUGAUUAUAGCUCUAGAAUAUGU